AGUUUCAGGAUGCAAGCUCGAGGCUUCUUGAUCCUAUGUGUUGUAUUGAGUGUUGGUCACUGGUCUUUGGGAAGCUUGGACAGAAGUGGGGCAGCCAUGGAGCUGCUGACUGGGACUGGCCUGUGGCCCGUGGUCAUAGUCACAGUCAUCUUCAUAUUACUGGUGGACAUGUUGCACCGGUGCCAGCGCUGGACUUCUUGCUGCCCACCAGACCCUGUGCCAUGGCCUGUGCUGGGUAACCUGCUGCAGGUGGACCUGGAUAACAUGCCAUAUAACUUGUACAAGGUGUGGUCCUUGCUCCUUAUGGGCCUGAGUGGAAAGAGCAGAGGUGAUUCUCUGCGUCGACCCUGUGCAACUUCAGCCUGGGCAAGAAAUCACUGGAGCAGUGGGUGAUGGAAGAGGUUGGACACCUCUUUGAUGUCUUCACUGCCCAUGCUGAGGAGGCUGUAGACAAGAGAUUUGGAAAGAACACAUCUAGAAGUGUCCACCACAGUAAUAGGAGCCUGGAGAUUGACAUACAGCAAAAGGAAGUGAGAAGCUGACCAAGGUCAGGGCUUCUAGAAGCUGAGACCCUGGCCCUCUGCCCACAUGGAACAUCUGUGAGAUUUUCCAGGGUUGGCUGACAAAGUCUUCCCUGGGCAAAAGACAUUUCUCAUAAUGGUGGAUAAGCUGGUGACUGAGCACAAGAGGACCUGGAACUCGGACCAGCCGCCUCGAGACCUGACUGAUGCCUUUAUGGCUGAGAUGGAGAAGGCAAAGGGAAACCCUGAGAGUAGCUUCAAUGAUGCAAAUCUAUGUCUGGUUGUCCUUGACCUGCUGGGUGCUGCAACUGUGACCACCUCAACCACACUGUCCUGGGCCCUGCUGCUUAUGAUCCUGCAUCCGGAUGUGCAGUGCCAAGUACAACAGGAAAUCGAUGAGGUCAUUUGGUAUGUGUGGCUUCCAGAGAUGGCAGACCAGGUCUGCAUGCCCUUCACCAAUGCUGUCAUUCAUGAGGGCAUGACUCUCAUCUCCAACCUGUUCCGUGCUGAAGGAUGAGACUGUCUGGGAGAAGCCCCUUCGCUUCCAUCCUGAACACUUCCUGGAUGCCCAGGGCCACUUUGUGAAGCCUGAGGCCUUCAUGCCAUUCUCAGCAGGCCACAGAUCAUGCCUGGGGGAGCCCCUGGCCCUCAUGGAGCUCUUCCUCUUCUUCACCUGCCUCCUGCAGCGCUUUAGCUUCUCAAUGCCAGCUGGACAAUCCCUUCCCAGUGAUUAUGGCAUCUAUACAAUGCCAGUUACUCCAGCACCUACCAGCUCUGUGCAGUGGUUUGCUAGCAGGGGCAGUGGCUCCAGCCAUCAUCACAGAUUGUUCUGACUGAUGUCCAAUAAACAAGUUUUGUGUCU
rnacentral:lncRNA from 1 species